GGGGCCUCGGGGCCCAGUCUGGAAGGGGCCUGGCACAGUUGAGGCCUCCUUUGGGCCCAGUCUGGAGGGGGCCCAGGCUGGAGGAGGACCAGGCUCAGUUGGGGCUGCUUUGUGGCCCAGGCUGGAGGAGGACCAGGCUCAGUUGGGGCUGCUUUGGGGCCCAGUCUGGAGGGGAGCCCAGCACAGUCGGGGCCUCGGGGCCCAGUCUGGAGGGGACCUGGCACAGUUGUGGCCUCCUUUUGGCCCAGUCUGGAGAGGGCCCAGGCAGAGCCAUGGCCUCGGGGCUUAGGCUGGAGGAGGACCAGGCUCAGUUGGGGCCGCUUUGGGGCUCAGGAGGCCCAGUCUGGAGGAGGACCAGGCUCAGUUGGGGCUGCUUUGGGGCCCAGUCUGGAGGAGGACCAGGCUCAGCUGGAGCUGCUUUGGGGCCCAGUCCAGAGGGAUGCCCAGCACAGCCAGAGCCUUGUGGCAGCAGUCCAACUCUCAAGUCAACCUUUAACCAUAACCUAAAAUGGUAACCGUAGUGAAAGGUAGUGGCAGAUACAGCUGCUUUACUGUGUUUUUAUUUUCCCAAGAAUGGUGAAGGACUCAAGCUAGUAAAGAAAGACCCCUUUCUGAAGAACAGGACUCAGAAGGUAUUAGCAGAGAGCAGAUGUCCCAGUAGAGAUUCUUCCCCUUAGACAGCCAGCCCUUAAAUGAGGUUAGGGAGGGCUGGGACCAGGCUCCACCCCUUUUCUGCACAGGUGAAACGCUUCCAGCCGUGCUCCGCAGCAGACCAUGUUUUAACAAAGGUGAAAGCCUGUGAAACAAAAGAAUCCCUUCUUACUUGUUUCACGUUUGUGUUUGUUGACCGCAGUUCCAACCAGGUGGACUCUGUGUCUUGCAAGCGACACCUAGAAGCAGGUACAGGCAGGAGGUACAGCACCCUGCAACCUCCAGGGGCCUUUGUGCAACACCAGAUGUUCAUGUCCUAGAAGCACGUGGCGGAGCACGUCCUGGGAUCAAGGUGCCAUGGACUGGAAAAUGCAGCUCUGGACAUACAGGCUUGGCGGAGUUCCUGUGUGAAGACAAAACUCCCAGUACUCCAGAAACGUGGAGGCAGAAGAGCAGUGACAAGG